rnacentral:misc_RNA from 1 species
GAUGAAGAACGUAGCGAAAUGCGAUAAGUAGUGUGAAUUGCAGAAUUCAGUGAAUCAUCGAAUCUUUGAACGCACAUUGCGCACCUUGGUAUUCCAUGGGGCAUGCCUGUUCGAGCGUCAUUUGUACCUUCAAGCUCUGCUUGGUGUUGGGUGUUUGUCUCGCCUCUGCGUGUAGACUCGCCUCAAAACAAUUGGCAGCCGGCGUAUUGAUUUCGGAGCGCAGUACAUCUCGCGCUUUGCACUCAUAACGACGACGUCCAAAAGUACAUUUUUACACUCUUGACCUCGGAUCAGGUAGGGAUACCCGCUGAACUUAAGCAUAUCAAUAAGCGGAGGA